CCUACGGGAGGCAGCAGUGAGGAAUAUUGGUCAAUGGACGAGAGUCUGAACCAGCCAAGUAGCGUGAAGGAUGACUGCCCUAUGGGUUGUAAACUUCUUUUAUAUGGGAAUAAAACAGGGUAUGCAUACCCUCUUGUAUGUACCACAUGAAUAAGGAUCGGCUAAUUCCGUGCCAGCAGCCGCGGUAAUACGGAGGAUCCGAGCGUUAUCCGGAUUUAUUGGGUUUAAAGGGAGCGUAGGUAGAUUGUUAAGUCAGUUGUGAAAGGUUGCGGCUCAACCGUAGAAUUGCAGUUGAAACUGGCUGUCUUGAGUGCAGUAGAGGUAUGCGGAAUUCGUGGUGUAGCGGUGAAAUGCUUAGAUAUCACGAAGAACUCCGAUUGCGAAGGCAGCUCACGGGAGUGCUACUGACGCUGAUGCUCGAAGGUGUGGGUAUCGAACAGGAUUAGAUACCCGUGUAGUC
rnacentral:rRNA from 1 species